ACAGUGAAAGAGUUGUCUUUGCAUUAAAUAGAAGUCUCUCGAAACCAUCAUAAAAAUGGUAUCAUUUUCCGAUUUCAAGUAUUUUUACGGGUUCUUUUACAUAUUUGGUCAAACGCCAUUUUACCCAUUUCAUGUGAAGAAUCGAAUAAAAUCAAAAAUUUUGAUGUUCUUGCCAAUUGUGAUGCUCAUUGCAAACGCUGUCUGGUGCUCAGUGCUAUUUUUAAAUGUUGAAUAUCAAAAAAUAAAAGCAAGAAACACGAUUCUGUACAUAUUUAUAAUAUUGAGAUUAACUGCGUUUGUACCGAAUCUUGUUGUGAUUUGUGAGAGCUUAAUUCGUCCGUAUGGCGUUCGAACAAUCAACCAACGGCUGUUCUUCAUAUGCAAUGCACUCAAAAUCAAACUAAAAACACAGUUUCGGCUGUGUGCAUUUAAAUCGGAGUGCAUUCGAGAUUUUUCUGUGUGUUUCACAAUAAUAGCAAUUACGAUCAUUAUUCGAAUGAACAUUCUAAUUCUGUACGAUUUGAGCACGGAAAUCGCCAUUUUCUCCAUGCAACUGUACAAAACAAUGGCAAUAUUACACGCUCUAUUCUACACAAAUCUCUUCAAAUUCAUUCUGAUUUCCAUGAAUGAAGCGAUCCUUAAAAAUGAUUGCGAAUCAAUUGUUCGGUCUCAAGUUAUUUUGGAUUUUGACUACGGCCGCUCGAAUCGACUUUCGACACUUUCUUUGUAUCGAACCCGAUUCAUUUAUUUGAAAUUAUGGGAAGUGGUGGAGAUGUACAACAAACAAUUUGGAUGGAGCCUUAUCGCAAUUAUGCUCGAAUCAAUGGCCUCCGCAACAAACUCAUUUUACGGCGCACUCAUCUACUUUGCGGAUUCAGAUAAUUUCAUCCAACAAACUAUACGUAAAUGUUUUUUUUACUCAUUUGCUUUUCGAUUGAACUAUUGUUCUGAGAUAAAUGCACGUGUGCGUAUGGCAUUCAAACGAUUAGCAUGAGAAAUUUUAUCAGUUCGAUUUCCAAUUAAUUAAUUAGUGUUAGGCACGAUUGACUUGAAACACGAUUGGUCUGAUGUUUUUGAUCUUGAAUAGCACGGCUUAGCACAAACAAGGUCACAUAUUGAACACGAACAUUGUCGUUUACACAAUCGCACUCACACAAAUGGACGCAUCGAUAGUGCCCGCUCAAUAUAUGUACGAUAACUGUUUUUCGUGUCCCUCGCCUAGAGGGCUGCGUGUCGUUUUUCUUCGUUUAUUAAGCGAUCUUGGCACAAAUAUAUUUAAUUUGAUUAAGUGAUUUGAUUUUUCCCAUUAUAACACAAGCAUUGAAUUGGAAAAAUACCCUUGAAACUAACUCUUUUGUCUUGGAAACAAAAUCGAUCUUUUGUUUCGACUUCAUUGGUAACACGUGCCUCGUUUUAAUCAUACUCAGUUAUUGAGUGAUUCUUAAAAGGAAACAGUCGACUUUGUCCAAGGAAAAACAUUCGUGUGAACAAAACUAAAGCUCUACUGUUAAUAAUGAUAUUGGGAAUUUCAAGUUCUGAUACAUUGCGUCGGCAUUUCAAAUGGCAUUUCACGCUGUUCUUUUUAUUCGGCCAAAAUACUAGGCUACCGAAUCGCAAUCCAUGCAAACGGUUUAUUCUUUUAAUGCCAACCAUUAUUUCGAUACUUUUGAUAACAUUCAGUGGUUUUGCGUUUAUGGUCGUGAAAUUAAAAAAUAUCGACGACAAUCAUGCAUUUGUACGGCAUUGGUUGAUGUUUGUUAAUAUAUUGCUAGGUCUUAUUGCUGUUACGCAAAGUGUUCGAAUGUCCAAGGGAACUCAGAAUUUCAGCACGAUUUUUAACUCUGUUAUUGACACCCUGGAAAAUCGAACAUGCACACAGAUUGAUUGGAAAAACAUUCAAAAACGGAUCAAGUUUAAAAUCAUAAUAAUUGUCAUUUGCUAUUUAGCCGCAUCAUCAAUUCGACUUCUGUGGUUAUCACCAUUUUAUGGACGAGAGCUGGAAGUGUUGUCCAGAUUACUACAUUUCUACAGAGUUGCAGCAACGUAUCAUACGUUUUUUCAUGUAGAUUUGUUCACGUUUCUUAGUUCAUUGAUAAUUCAAAAUGUGAAGGCCCAACGGAAAAUUAUACAGAAAAGAAGUUCGUUUGAGGCAAAGAAGAUAAGCUCGUUUGAGGCCAAUGAAAUUAUCAAUGUUAUGAGCCUCGUAAAGACUCAGCACUUACAAUUGUGGGAAUGUAGUCAAGUGAUUAACAAAUACUUUAGUUUUAUCAUAAUCGCAGUUAUAAUUGACGCGAUUUUUGUAACAACCGCCCAUGCAUAUUGGGCAUUCUUUCACUGGAUAAGUGGCCUAAAAUGGAACGUUGUCAUGCGUCCAAUCUGCAAUUUCUUGAGCGCCGUGGUUUCCACAACGAUUUUGAUCAAUGCCUGCCAUUACUGCACCAUUCAGAAAACAGAAUUGAUCAAAAACAUCGAGAAGCUCACUUUCUGGGCCGGCGACAAUGAGAAGCUGCACUUUGCAAAGCAGGAGCUCUUGUCUCAAAUCAACAACUUGGAUAUAUCGAUUAGUGGCAAAGGAUUCUUCAUAAUCGAUCGCCAAUUUUUGGCUGGAAUGGCAGCCGCUUGCUGCACGUACAUCAUCAUUUUCAUCCAGUUCUAUUUGUCGGGAAAGUAAAUGUUUUUGGUAGAAAAACAAAUGGCAAAUCGGUUCGUUGAAGCCGCAUACAAAUAUGACAGUUUUUAAAUGUUGUUUUUUAUUUGUGAAGCUAUAAUAAGCUAUAAUCUCAUUUGUGUAAUCCAAAGAAAAAAAAAAUUAUGCAUCGAUAGGGUUUGCGUGUGGAUUCCUUUUAUUAAACACAACUCUUUGUAUUCAUUGUAUCGAUUUUCGUUGAAAGUUUAUCGUUCCAUAAUUUACGAUAUUAGUAAAACUCUUUUCUUAUAGUUGUAUGUCAUGGUAGAAGUAUAAAAGAGGGUAGGUUUCAUGAGCACAGGUUGUGUCGAUGUCUUUAUGCAUAAAUGUUGAAAUUAUCUAUGUUGAAAUUUGCAAUUUUAAAUGUAUAAUAUGUUAAGUAAAAAGGAAUAGACAGGAAUCGAGUUUACUCGGGUGAGGCAAGAAGUUCGAAAUUGAAUUUUCUUAUUUUUUUAUUGGCUGUUUCUACCUAUUCGUCUAGUCGAUUUUUACGUUUUUUGUGGCGAUUUUCCAAAUUGAUUAGAUGAAAAACAUUUAAACCUUUUCUUAUUUAGAUAAAAAGUGUUUUUGUUUCAGAAUAAGAGAAUAACCAAGUUCAAUUUCGAUUUUAUCGAUACAAUGGCUCGUACAUGACUUAUUCUAAGACUAUUUUCUAUGAAUUAAAGUAUAUUACCUAUUAUGUGUUACCCAUCCUAUCAAAUUGAAUAGAAUCAGUAUGUAUUUAUUGUCUACUGUAAGAAUUUUAUGUUGUCAAAGGUUUAAAUAAUCUAUUUUACUAUUGCACAAACAAAGUUUGUAGGGAAGAGAAUUUUGCUGUUGAAACACCCUAUUACUCUUUCCUGUUAUGAAAAAUCGUUGUGGUUUAUAUGUCGCUGUUUGUCAUUUUUGAGGCUUGUAAUAAAUGUAUGUAUAUGUGUGGGAAAACCCAAA